CUCGCCACCAAGUCGAUUCAUCUGGCUGGAGACUAAUUAAAAGGUAAAUACUAAAAGGAGAUGAUGAUCAGCACACAUGCACACUCUCACACACACACACACAUGCAGUGGGACACACUCUCACACACACGUGCAGUGGGACACACUCUCACACACACACGCAAUGGGACACACUCUCACACACACACGCAAUGGGACACACUCUCACACACACGUGCAGUGGGACACACUCUCACACACACACGCAGUGGGACACACUCUCACACACACACGCAAUGGGACACACUCUCACACACACAUGUAGUGGGACACACUCUCACACACACAUGCAGUGGGACACUCUCACACACAUGCAGUGGGACACUCUCACACACAUGCAGUGGGACACACUCUCACACACAUGCAGUGGGACACACACACACGUGCAGUGGGACACACUCUCACACACACGUGCAGUGGGACACACUCUCACACACACGUGCAAUAGGAGACACACACACACAAACACGUGCAGUGGGACACACUCUCACACACACAUGCAAUAGGAGACACACACACACAAACAGUGGGACACACGCAGGAAGCUGCUGAUUGGCUCAGAGUCUGUC
ensembl:lncRNA